rnacentral:siRNA from 1 species
UUAUGGAAUAACCGGUGGGCUUG